rnacentral:rRNA from 1 species
GACGAACGCUGGCGGCGUGCCUAAUACAUGCAAGUAGAACGCAGUUGCGAACGGGUGAGUAACGCGUAGGUAACUGCCUCAUAGCGGGGGAUAACUAUUGGAAACGAUAGCUAAUACCGCAUACAGUGAGAUGGACCUGCGUUGUAUUAGCUAGUUGGUGAGGUAAAGGCUCACCAAGGCGACGAUACAUAGCCGACCUGAGAGGGGGAACGGGCAGACCUGGACUGGGAAACCGCCCAGACUCCUCAGGUAGGCCACAGGUGGGAAUCUGUGGCAAUGGGCGGAAUGCUGGACGAGCAACGCCGGCGGAGGGGAGGAGGGUUUCGGAUCUUAAAGCUCUGUUGUUAGAGAAGCGGUAACUAGCCAGAAAGGGACGGCUAACUACGUGCCAGCAGCCGCGGUAAUUC